rnacentral:tmRNA from 1 species
GGGGCUGUAACGGUUUCGACGUUUUAGCGAACGCCAUCUUGUGAUGCAGGCCGAGAGUGAGUCAACUCUCGUAAAUCAAGGCUCAAAAAACAGUACAUGCGAACAACAUCGUACCUUUCGCUCGUAAAGCAGCUGCGGUUGCCUAAACACCUCUAACAGGUUCGAGCAUUCACAGUUUGACUCCGUUAAAAGCUGUGGAUAACCCUCAACGGAUGCUUUAGCAAUCUGCCUCUGGUCGCUUGCUAGCUAAGACAUUACCAGAGCAUCCCACCGUUCGGGAUAAGGAACGGUUCCCGCUUCGAGGGUUAGAGAAGCUACGCCUGUGAAUGAGUGAGAUGCUAAUACCUAAAGCGGACACGGGUUCGACUCCCGUCAGCUCCAUUU